UGUCAUUUCCGUAUAAAUUGCGUCGAGGUUGAGUCUGAACUAUUUUUCGUCUGACGUGCAGUGCGUAAAAAAACAAAAAAAAGUGUGUUUGAGUCCGGCAAAGGAAAUAUUUACAACCAAUACUUGUUAGUAAACGCAUAAUCAACAACAAAUAUGGUUGGAUCACGCGUUUAUGUGGGCGGCCUGCCCUACGGCGUGCGUGAGCGCGAUUUGGAGCGCUUUUUCAAAGGCUAUGGCCGAACUCGUGACAUACUCAUAAAGAAUGGCUAUGGCUUCGUGGAAUUCGAGGACUAUCGUGACGCAGACGAUGCCGUCUACGAGUUAAACGGGAAGGAGCUACUGGGCGAACGUGUGGUUGUUGAACCAGCCAGAGGCACAGCUCGUGGCAGCAACCGGGAUCGUUACGAUGAUCGCUACGGCGGACGCCGCGGCGGGGGCGGCAGAUAUAAUGAUAAAAACAAAAAUUCCAGAUCAUCCUCCCGUUAUGGACCGCCAUUGCGCACCGAGUACCGUUUGAUUGUCGAGAAUUUGUCCAGUCGCGUCAGCUGGCAGAAAAAGAGUGUGAUGUGUAUCUGUUACUGAACCGCCCCAGAGCUUAGAAGAGAGUGACAAAAAUACAGGCAGUAUAUGUGUAAUGGCCAGAGAAAAGGUGCCAUAAACCGAGCUGAACUGAAACUAAUAAAACAAUAACGUGCUAUGGCCAAAUACUUCGUCGAUGUACGAUAUAAAGCCUGGCCGGGGGCCUCAACUUGUUACAUGUAUUACAAGCGGAAGAGAAAUCCAACAAAAAACGAGAGACAGAAACAAAACACGCACGCAACAUAAAGAGAUUCGACGCCUGACAGUGCAUCCCACGUUAUCAUUGUCGGUCGCUUUGUGAAUGAUCUUCGCUUGGGUUAUAUAAAAGCUGUAUUUCCCCUAAAAAACCAUCUCCCAAACACGCUUGGUCUUCGCGCUGUCGUCAUCGCCGUCGCCGCUGUCGUCGUCGUUGAUGCCUCGUCGUCAUCCAUGCCAAAAAAAAUUAAAAACAUACAACUGAUGUGAAUUGUGAUGGCAGCUGCCUGAGAUUUGGGCUAACAAAAGGCCAGCCUAAGCGCAAUGCCCAAAAUGCCAAGAAUAUGUUAUAGCCGUAUUGCGUAGGCUUGCCUAUUGUACGCUGAGGCUUAGGUAUUUAAAUGUUUAAGCAUUCACAAUUUAAUUACAAAAAUUAUAUAAAGAAUUGUCAAAUUCCUUAUAGCGAAUAUGAGAGUUUUGAGGUCAUAUGACAGACAGAGAGAAAGAGAGAGAGAGGGAGAGACGUUAACAAAAAAACUAAACAGUUAGAUGCGAUGGGAUGAUGAUGAUGACCAUUGAUGACAUGACGAUGAUGAUACUGGCCGACUCUUUAACGCGUUCAUUUCAUCUUCGGUUAGGCAAAGUGCAACACUGUGCAUCCAAAACUAGUGCCAAUUCUAUGUGUCUGUGUGUUCCCCCUCUUAACUGGCAAGGUCUGGCCUGGCUCCGACUCUGGCUCUGGCUCUGGCUGACUAUCGACUAGAGACUCAUGGAGCAGCUAACACGCCAUCGUCGCACCGCCGAUAACGUUCCAGCCUCAGAGGCGCUCCCCAAAACGUAUUUCUUAUUUUUACAGUUCGUUUCUGUGAGGCCGUGGGAGAGAUGAGAUGCCGCCGCCUGGUUGACUGCCUGGUUGCGUACUGUUUUGUACUGUGCGUACUGCUGCUCUACACUGCCACUGCUCGCUCUCUCACCCACAAAUCCCGACUGCGGCCCCGGCAGUGGUCCUGGCUCCCGGCAACUGUUUCUGACUGUGCGUUUUUUUGGGUCCCACGAUUAAAAAGUACAUGAACAAACAAAAAAAUAAAACAAGUAGCACAACAACAACAAAAAUAUAUAUAAAUUCAAUAUAAUGAUCAAGUUAAAGCACAUACAUACAUAAAAAAAAAGCAUUUCCUGGCCAAUUCGCUCAUCUGCCAAAACUGCCCGAGUGUCUGGCACGGCAUUGUGGCCGACUUUGCGUGCGGUUUUCUGGUUGCUGGCCUGGCCUGGCCCGGCCGCCAACAUGCUGAUCAAAUGAUUUGAUGUUGAGAUGUGGAGCUCUCGAUCUCGCUAACUGCUCUUUCGAUGAGGUCUUGCGGUCCAGCUGAGGGUUGCCCCCAUUGGCCGACAGUUACUAGGCAGACAAACAAAACUCUCGGUGUUGUACGAUUAAAGCGAUGUGUGUGUCCUCUCUCUGAAAGCGCAUUAAGAUCUGAAGGACUACAUGCGCCAGGCUGGCGAGGUCACCUAUGCUGAUGCCCACAAGCAGCGUCGCAACGAGGG